AGAUGCGAGAGUAGAGCAUAUCAAUAAGCGGAGGAAAAGAAACUAACGAGGAUUCCCUUAGUAACGGCGAGUGAAGCGGGAAGAGCUCAAAUUUGAAAUCUUCAAGGUUCUACCUUGACGAAUUGUAGUUUAAAGAAGUGUUUUCUGUUAGAUGAGUAGCAAAAGUUCCUUGGAAUGGGACAUCAUAGAGGGUGAGAAUCCCGUAUUUGGUUAUUCAUUCUAGCUUUGUGAUACACUUUCAAAGAGUCGGAUUGUUUGGGAAUGCAGUCCAAAAUGGGUGGUAAAUUUCAUCUAAAGCUAAAUAUUGGCGAGAGACCGAUAGCGAACAAGUACCGUGAGGGAAAGAUGAAAAGAACUUUGAAAAGAGAGUUAAACAGUACGUGAAAUUGUCAAAAGGGAAGCGUUUGACACCAGUGUUGUUUUUCCGAAAAUCAAUUACGAAUGGCUUGAUUUUGUGUUGUAUUGACCUUAUCAGCUUUCUUCACUUUUUUCGAGUCUUUCUUAAUGCACUUUUCGGUUAACAAGUCAACAUCAAUUUCUUUUGUUGUAAAAGAGUAUUCGGAAGGUGGCUUUCUUUUCGGAGAAAGUGUUUAUAGCCCUAUACUUCUACAAUCGGAGAGAUUGAGGUCUGCAGCGUAGAUCCUUCGGGGUUAGAUACACUUGUGCUAAGUUGUAGCUUUCCAUAGACAACUUGUUGACUAUGUUUAGUCAUGCGGCUUACUCGCUUAUGCUAUUUUACCUACGCUUAGGAUGUUGAGCGCAUGUCUCUCUCU
rnacentral:rRNA from 1 species